GAUGAACGCUGGCGGCGUGCUUAACACAUGCAAGUCGAACGGUGAAGGCGGAGCUUGCUCUGCUGGAUCAGUGGCGAACGGGUGAGUAACACGUGAGCAAUCUGCCCCUGACUCUGGGAUAAGCGCUGGAAACGGCGUCUAAUACUGGAUACGAGCUGCGAAGGCAUCUUCAGCAGCUGGAAAGAAUUUCGGUCAGGGAUGAGCUCGCGGCCUAUCAGCUUGUUGGUGAGGUAAUGGCUCACCAAGGCGUCGACGGGUAGCCGGCCUGAGAGGGUGACCGGCCACACUGGGACUGAGACACCGCCCAAACUCCGACGGGAGGCAGCAGUGGGGAAUAUUGCACAAUGGGAGACAGCCUGAUGCAGCAACGCCGCGUGAGGGACGACGGCCUUCGGGUUGUAACCCUCUUUUAGCAGGGAAGAAGCGAAAGUGACGGUACCUGCAGAAAAAGCGCCGGCUAACUACGUG
rnacentral:rRNA from 1 species